rnacentral:rRNA from 1 species
AUACGGAGGGUGCAAGCGUUAAUCGGAAUUACUGGGCGUAAAGCGUGCGUAGGCGGUCCGUUAAGUUAGAUGUGAAAGCCCCGGGCUUAACCUGGGAACUGCAUUUAAAACUGGCGGACUAGAGUUGAGUAGAGGGGAGUGGAAUUCCAGGUGUAGCGGUGAAAUGCGUAGAGAUCUGAAGGAACACCAGUGGCGAAGGCGACUCCCUGGACUCGAACUGACGCUGAGGUACGAAAGCGUGGGUAGCAAACGGGAUUAGAAACCCGAGUAGUCC